rnacentral:rRNA from 1 species
CAGCAGCCGCGGGAAUACGUAGGGUGCGAGCGUUAAUCGGAAUUACUGGGCGUAAAGCGUGCGCAGGCGGUUGUGUAAGACAGGUGUGAAAUCCCCGGGCUUAACCUGGGAACUGCGCUUGUGACUGCACGGCUAGAGUAUGGCAGAGGGGGGUGGAAUUCCACGUGUAGCAGUGAAAUGCGUAGAGAUGUGGAGGAACACCGAUGGCGAAGGCAGCCCCCUGGGCCAAUACUGACGCUCAUGCACGAAAGCGUGGGGAGCAAACAGGAUUAGAUACCCCUGUAGUCCCUGUCUCUUAUAC